rnacentral:rRNA from 1 species
CACGUAGGGGCCAAGCGUUGUCCGGAUUUAUUGGGCGUAAAGAGCUCGUAGGCGGCUCGGUAAGUCAGGUGUGAAACCUCCAGGCUCAACCUGGAGACGCCACCUGAUACUGCUGUGGCUAGAGUCCGGUAGGGGAGCGUGGAAUUCCUGGUGUAGCGGUGAAAUGCGUAGAGAUGUGGAGGAACACCAAUGGCGAAGGCAGCCUUCUGGGCCAACACUGACGCUCAUGCACGAAAGCGUGGGGAGCAAACAGG